rnacentral:rRNA from 1 species
GACGAACGCUGGCGGCGUGCCUAAUACAUGCAAGUCGAGCGAAGCGGCGGAUGGGUUAGUAACGCGUGGGUAACCUGCCCUUAAGUCUGGGAUACCAUUUGGAAACAUAUGCUAAUACCGGAUACUAACGGAUGGACCUGCGCUGCAUUAGCUCGUUGGUAAGGUAACGGCUUACCAAGGCGAUGAUGCAUAGCCGGGUUGAGAGACUGAUCGGCCACAUUGGGACUGAGACACGGCCCAAACUCCUACGGGAGGCAGCAGUAGGGAAUAUUCCACAAUGGGCGAAAGUCUGAUGGAGCAAUGCCGCGUGUGUGAAGAAGGUUUUCGGAUCGUAAAGCACUGUUGUUGGUGAAGCGGUAAUAAAACAGAAAGUAACGGCUAACUACGUGCCAGCAGCCGCGGUAAUAC